GCGGGUGCCUGUAAUCCCAGCUACUCAGGAGACUGAGGCAGGAAAAUCACUUUAACCUAGGAGGCAGAGGUUGCAGUGAGCUGAGAUUGUGCCACUGCACUCCAGCCUGGGCAACAAGAAUAAAACUUUGUCUCAAAAAGAAAAAAAAAAAGUGAAUGACUUCCCGAAAGCACCCCUAUUCCUCACCCUCUUGGGGGAGGACUCCAAAUUUAAGAAGUGAGGCACCUCCCCCAAAGACCUGCUGUUUUCAAGCUGCCUGCAUGUUCCCAGUCUGAAUGGGAAGUGCCAAUGCUCCCAUCCCCACAGCCACUCUGUGGCACACUCAGUGUCACCUGAGCCUCACAGACAGGCCCACAUCCGAGCAUCAGACGCAGCCCUGUAACAUUACAAGGGCCGUGAAAAGUCUGUGCACACUGACUGUGCUGCACUCAAGUCCUACAAAUGAUUCUCCAGUCUUUACAACAGACACCAGCACAGAAUGUGCAGACAGCGAGUGGGGCACACCAAAAACACAGAAAAGGAAAAGCAAAGCCCGAAGUUCCAGGCACAGGCUUCCUGUCAGGUGAGAGUCAUCAGCUCAUUCUGCCACACAACCAAGAGGCUGAAAAAGGCAAGCUAUGAGGCCUCAUUCUAUGCCCGUAAGCCAUUAAGGUCAAGUGGCCCCAUGUACAUCCGCAACACAAAUGGCCUAAACAUGACAGUGCAUGUAAAAAUGUAAACUCCAUGCAAAAAAUGGAUUGUGUGUUUUGCUUAAUAUUUUCUUCUAUACUGUUUAAGUUUCUCUCCAAUCAGAAUCUCCUGCUGGUAAAACAACAAACGGCCGGGCGUGGUGGCUCACGCUUGUAAUCCCAGCACUCUGGGAGGCUGAGGCAGGCAGAUCAUGAGGUCAACAGAUCGAGACCAGCCUGGCCAACAUGGUGAAACCCUGUCUCUAUUAAAAAUACAAAAAUUAGCUGGGCGUGAUGGCACAGGCCUGUAGUCCCAGCUACUUGGGAGGCAGAGGCAGGAGACUCGCUUGAACCCAGGGGGUGGAGGCUGCAGUGAGCCGAUAUCGCACCACUGCACUCCAGCCUGGUGACAGAGCGAGACCCUGUCUCAAAAACAAACACAAUAAACAUUCGCCCUGAGUUAUGCACUGAGGAAUUAUUUCAGGAAAAGUGGUUUGGGAACCUUCCUGGACAAUGAGCUGUCUCCAGGAGGAUGUGGAUACUUCUGGCUCCUACCUCUUUGAACUCCAAACAGACUCAACAGCCCCACCUCAAGAUGGCCUCUCAAGCUGAGUGUGGCCAGAGGCAUCUUCUACUUCCCACCUCCUCCCACUCCAAUACACCACACCCAGCCUUCCAACCUCACCAAGCAGCAACUCCGGGCCAGAAACCAGGAGACCAGCUUCAUUUCCUCCUCUGCACGCUUCACACACUACCAGCAAAUCCCAUCAGUUCUAUCCCAGAACUUUCCCCGACUCCUUGCACCCCUUACCUGGCUUAAACUGCCACCUCCUCCAUCUGGAUUUUCCCACCUAGCUCCCCAAGGUCCUGCUGCUUCUACUCCAGCCCAGCACGCUUGCCAAAGGGGAGCAGGCACCACCCCUCCUGCGUAAACAGGUGUCCAAUGGCCCCAUAGCACUCAGUAAGUAAACAGCAGUGCCCACACACAGCCUCCAACAGCUUGGAUCCCUUACCUGACUGCCAUGCACACACAGUCCUGCGCUGGG
rnacentral:lncRNA from 1 species